AACGUAGGAGGCGAGCGUUAUCCGGAUUUACUGGGUGUAAAGCGCGUGCAGGCGGACUGGAAAGUUGGAUGUAAAAGCUCCUGGCUCAACUAGGAGAGGUCGUUCAAAACUACCGGUCUAGAGUACAGUAGAGGGAAGUGGAAUUCCGGGUGUAGUGGUGAAAUGCGUAGAUAUCCGGAGGAACACCAGUGGCGAAAGCGGCUUUCUGGACUGAAACUGACGCUCAGACGCGAAAGCUAGGGUAGCAAACGGG
rnacentral:rRNA from 1 species